AAAAAGUUUGAUUUUUGCUUAAAGUUUUGUUCUAUAAUUAUCUAGUAUAUGCAAAUUUUAAUGUUAAAAUAUUUAUUUAAAAUAAAUAAUAUAAAAGCAAUAUUUAAUAUUAAUGUAUAAGGUAAAUCUUGAUUUAGUAAAUUAUAAGAAAUUUGAGAAAAUCUUGUGCCAGCAGUCGCGGUUAGACUUGGGGGUUAAAUAAAAUUUUUUAGUAAAAGUUAAUUAUAUUGUAGUUAAGAUAAAGGUUUAUAUAAAUAAAAAGUGAAAUUAAUUAUUUUUUAUAAAAAUUUAUAUAUCUCUAAAAUAAUGAAGCUAGCAAGAUUAAGGUAUGGAAUAGGAUUAGAUACCCUAGUACACUUAAUUUUAAUUUUAGAAUACUAGGAUACUAAGAGUUAUGUUCUUGAAAUUUAAAAAAUUUGGCGGUAUUUUAGUCUAGUUAGAGGAACCUGUUUUAUAAACGAUACUACACGCAUUAUCUUACUUCUUUUUGUACUCAGUUUGUAUACCGUCAUUAUUAGAUAAUUUGAGAGAUAAUAUUAUUAAAAUCAACAUUUUUGAGUAUAUUAGAUCAAGGUGCAGCUUAUAAAUAAGAAAAAAUGGGUUACAAUAAAAUUUAUUUAUUUAUGGAGUUAAAAUUUAAAAAUUUUAAUGAAGGAGGAUUUAAUUGUAAAAUAAGAAAUAAUAAAAUUUUUUGAUAAAAGCUCUAAAUUAUGUACAUAUCGCCCGUCGCUUCCAUUUAAGGUGGAAUAAGUCGUAACAUAGUAGAGGUACUGGAAAGUGUCUCUAGAAUUAA
rnacentral:ncRNA from 1 species